rnacentral:lncRNA from 1 species
ACUCAUUCACACCCAGGUCCAAACUCCUGGAAGGAAACCAACCAAACAAAAAAGGUAAUGAUGCCCAGAAAACUGCUCACAAAAUGUUAGUGCAAAUACAUAUGAGGAUAAAGCAGUAAGAGAGGUAUUGAAGGACAGAAUGACUUAGCCAUAGGAUUGUUUUGCCUUGUCUGUCUUUGAUUGAAAGGAUAAUAAAGGAUGUUCAUAAAAGCUAUUCUCAGGCUAGGGCUGAUAAAUAAUUGUAUUUGACUGCAUUCUGCUCUCGUGAAUUCCCACUUGUGGCUGAGAGUUGAGGCUGUGAUUUUCAUUUUUGCUUUAAUUAUACAAAUAUGAUAAGAGGUUCUUGUGCUCCUUUUCCCCAACAGGGAGAAGGAAGCUCAGAACAUUAAACAGUUUACAAAAGGGUGCACCUUUGAUUGGCCUCAGGCAAUCUACAUGACUGCAUCCAGGAUUAAAAUACACUUUACAUCUGCACCGCUUGAAAGCAGCAGAAAGCAACAGCUUUGCUCAGCACAGAGUGGCUCGGCUUGGAUAGAGCAGUCGCUGGAAAAGGAGCUGUGUGACACAACGUGGGAGGCUUUCCGUCGUUCACUGGGGGUAGUGAUGCUCCCAGCUGGGACUGUGCCCACUCCUUCAAGAGCAUCCAUCGCCAUGUUCCUCCAGCUUCAGCUUGGCCUCUGUUCCUCCUUAUCAGCCGGGUGCUGCAGUGAAGAUGGGUCGUGUGCCCUGUGAAGGGGAAGGUCCCCAGCCAGUCCAAGCAUCACUCUGACGUCCCAGCCUGCAUCCAGAAGCCACCGAGCUCUAUGAGCAGGACAUGAGCAAGCUCUAAGCCUUUGGAUGGAGCAUGAAGCACAGCUGGCAUAGAGCUGCUGGAAAAGGGAGGUUGUUUGGGAUGUGGAUCCCAUGGCAUUGACAUCCAGGAGGGGCUCCAGUGGAGUGCCCAUGUGUUGCUGCAAGCAGUGAUGUUGCUGUGCUCUGCUCCCCAAGGGAAGCUGAAGGGUAUUGGCAUGCGGCAUUUUGCAUCUACAGUCACAUAACUUCACCAGUUUUGGGAGUGUGAAGGAGCGCAGCAUCCCAGCAAAGAGCUGGAGCUAUGGCAGAGCCAGUGGGAGGAGAUGCCACAGCGAUGAAGGAGGAUCUGGCAUGGAGAUUUGAAUUUAAAUGACAUAUCAAGG